rnacentral:rRNA from 1 species
AGUGAACGCUGGCGGUAGGCCUAACACAUGCAAGUCGAACGGCAGCACAGUAAGAGCUUGCUCUUACGGGUGGCGAGUGGCGGACGGGUGAGGAAUACAUCGGAAUCUACUUUUUCGUGGGGGAUAACGUAGGGAAACUUACGCUAAUACCGCAUACGACCUACGGGUGAAAGCAGGGGAUCUUCGGACCUUGCGCGAUUGAAUGAGCCGAUGUCGGAUUUGCUAGCUGGCGGGGUAAAGGCCCACCAAGGCGACGAUCCGUAGCUGGUCUGAGAGGAUGAUCAGCCACACUGGAACUGAGACACGGUCCAGACUCCUACGGGAGGCAGCAGUGGGGAAUAUUGGACAAUGGGCGCAAGCCUGAUCCAGCCAUACCGCGUGGGUGAAGAAGGCCUUCGGGUUGUAAAGCCCUUUUGUUGGGAAAGAAAAGCAGCAGGUUAAUACCCCGCUGUUCUGACGGUACCCAAAGAAUAAGCACCGGCUAACUUCGUG